rnacentral:rRNA from 1 species
UACGAAGGGGGCUAGCGUUGCUCGGAUUGACUGGGCGUAAAGGGCGCGUAGGCGGUUCGUACAGUCAGACGUGAAAUUCCUGGGCUCAACCUGGGGGCUGCGUUUGAUACGUGCGGACUUGAGUGCAGAAGAGGGUCGUGGAAUUCCCAGUGUAGAGGUGAAAUUCGUAGAUAUUGGGAAGAACACCGGUGGCGAAGGCGGCGACCUGGUCCGAUACUGACGCUGAGGCGCGAAAGCGUGGGGAGCAAACAGG